rnacentral:tRNA from 1 species
GUAAAUGUAGUUUAAAACAAAAGCAAGGAAUUGAAAAUACCUAGACGA